CACCCAGAAACCCUAGCCUCCCUUCCUCCUCCCUUGCGCCGCCAUCCUCUCCAACCUCCCUGUCUAUUUCUUCACGAACAAGGAGAGCCCAAAGCGUGCGCCUCUCAGACCACCAUGGAGCCGCCGCUACAGACAACCCCGCGCCCAACCGAGAGUACCAGAAGAUGCGCCUCCUCCUCCUCAUCAUCCCCAACCAAGGAAUCGAACCGAAACCUCUCCAAUCGCCCGCAAAAUCGCCGAUUUCGUCCCCAUGCUGACGGCGUCUUCUUCAAAAUCCGGCGUCAUUCGACCUCCCCUUGCCCGUCCGAGCUCACCAACGUGUUCCUGGUGAGAAGGAGAAUCUCCCAGACCUCUUCUUGAAUUUUUUCCUAGCCUGUACUCCGUGCUGCCGGCGUUCACCGUCGCUUUUGCUAGCAGAUGAUCAUCGUCGGGUUUCCUCCGACGGUUCCCCAACGCCAAGACCUCCACCAACGAACUCCCCUUGGUCUUCCACUUCGAACGCGCAGACUCCCGCAUCCAGGCGCACGUUCCGCUGCCAGAUCGAGGAUCGAUCUGCAACAUGGUUGCCACCGUCAAGUCCGGCCUGCACUACUUCAUCUCGUCGCGUUUCUGCUACUGUUCACCAAUCCUCUACCAGCCCACUGAUCUAGUGCUGGGCCUUGGCCCGUAUCUCUCCCGGUGUAUCCAUCGCCCAGCGCGCAGCAGGCCGCUAUCCUCCGCUGCCUCUACGCAGCAUUUGCUUCUUCUCGGAUAGGAUCGCGAAGUGGUGCGGUGAGAUACGACGAGUUCUCCGGAUGUCCCUCGACAGCUUUAACAGGCAAGCAUUUCCCUUAUACUCCUGUCCCUGCAGGAGUCGCUCACCUAUUUUAUUUUGCCUUCUCCCUCAUGCUAUCCUUAAGUUGCGUUCUUGUCACGUGUCCCUUCCACUUGUUACCUCAAGCAGCCUAUAUUGCCUCCACCAACCACCUACAGCUAUUGUUUGGUUAUCGGGUCUGCCUUGCGAGUCGUAGUGCAUGCUAGUGUUGUUUAUAUCUCGUUACCGUUACUGCUAUCUUAUCAGGUUAUCUGUUGGGGAACAUGACACAUGGUUUAUGGAUAUAUCUGUUGAGGGUAUCAUGGUUACUUGUUGAUAGUUGUUAGCGGAGACAUCGGUGGGUCAGUUGCUCGUUUUAUGACGGCUCACUUGUGUUUUCCAUGAAAUCUAGGAUCCCGAGUUCUUGUUAUCUGUUCCGAGACUGAGCGCUCUAACCACACGUGGGUAUGCUUAUGGGUCUCCCCUUGACCACUGCCGGAAUCUACAGCUUUGUCCAGUGGCCACAACUAGUUUGUAAUGUUUUACCAUUUGUUGUUUGCGUGCAUGCCAGCUUGUUACUUAUUUACUUUGGGAAGCCCCUGGGUGCCUUGUAUCCCUUGUUUCUGGUAUGCACGUAUAGGUGUGGCACGUGCGUUUAUCGCAUGCUGAAGCGGGUCAUUCGCCCCAGUGUGUGUUUUGACCCUCUAAAGCCGUCCUCGCAAUAGCUAAGUCCGCUUUGGAGAUACGGCCGAACUUCGAUACGGGUUCAACUUAGUUAGGUGGCUUCCUGGACAUUGUUGUCGUGAAGGAGAUUGCGAGCCGUGAUAACCACCUGUCGUAAGUGGAUUGAGCGGUGCGUGUGGGUACAUUUGGGCAACCCCUGCAGGGUGUACAUCUUAUCGAUAAGCUGUGUCCGCGGUUAUGGACGACUUGGAGUUGUAUGACUCGACCAUAGACAACUUACACCUUGUGUUUCAAUCAUAAUAACUUGUGUAGUUAGUUAGCACAACUCUAAUAAUAAAUGGUUAAAACUUGACAACCAUGUGAGUGCCUUUGUAAGUACUUCUUGGCGAAGGGGGAACGCAUCGGCUGUGUUAUGUUUGCAGAGUAUAGAACUGUUAGUUUAUGCGCUCUCGCCCCUUCUCUGGUAGACGAAUGUUGUAGAGUGUCUCUAUAGGUUUUUAGUGCUUGCGCGUUGCCGCUUAACCCCACCAUAUUGCCUAUGACGUUCCUCUUGCGUCCUCUAAGUCCCCUGCGUGCCUCAAGUACAAAGGACGAUCAGGUUGAUGAAUGCUUAUACGUCUUGAAGUCUUGUUAAGUACGAACCGUACUUAUUGCUGCUUCUACGGGAUAUAACCGGGCAGGUAUGAAGAUAUGUUCGAUGAAGACGACGCUAGCAAGGUUACCCUUCCGGCUUGGCCUUGGCAGGGUUAUGGACGCCAUUGAUUAUCUUCAGGACUCUUAGUCCAAUUUGUAUCUUGUCCGUACUCGGACAUAUUUGAUCUUCUGUAUGAUUUGGAUCUUGAGUUGUAUAUUUGUAUCUUGACUCGUUGGAGUCGUUGUUGUAAUAUAUGUUUCUUGUGGGCUC